UACGUAGGGGGCUAGCGUUGUCCGGAAUCAUUGGGCGUAAAGAGCGUGUAGGCGGCCCGGUAAGUCCGCUGUGAAAGUCGGGGGCUCAACCCUCGAAUGCCGGUGGAUACUGUCGGGCUAGAGUGCGGAAGAGGCGAGUGGAAUUCCUGGUGUAGGCGGUGAAAUGACGCAGAUAUCGGGAGGAACACCUGUGGCGAAGGCGGCUUUCUGGGCCCUACCGUGACGCUGAGACGCGAAAGCGUGGGGAGCGAACCGGG
rnacentral:rRNA from 1 species